UGUACAGGUGAGAGAUAGAGGGACAGGUGAUGUACAGGUGAGAGAUAGAGGGACAGGUGCUGUACAGGUGAGAGAUAGAGGGACAGGUGCUGUACAGGUGAGAGGCAGAGGGACAGGUGAUGUACAGGUGAGAGGCAGAGGGACAGGUGAUGUACAGGUGAGAGAUAGAGGGACAGGUGAUGUACAGGUGAGAGGCAGAGGGACAGGUGAUUUAGAGGUGAGAGGCAGAGGGACAGGUGAGAGGUAGAGGGACAGGUGAGAGAUAGAGGGACAGUUGAGAGGCAGAGGGACAGGUGAGAGGCAGAGGGACAGGUGAUGUACAGGUGAGAGGCAGAGGGACAGGUGAGAGAUAGUGUAACAGGUGAUGUACAGCUGAGAGGCAGAGGGACAGGUGAGAGAUAGAGGGACAGGUGAUGUACAGGUGAGAGAUAGAGGGACAGGAGAUGUACAGGUGAGAGAUAGAGGGACAGCUGUGGACAGAUGAGAGAUAGUGUGACAGGUGAUGUACAGGUGAGAGGCAGAGGGACAGGUGAUGUAC